ACCAAUUGCGAAGGCAGCUUUCUGGAUCAUUACUGACACUGAGGAACGAAAGCAUGGGUAGCGAAGAGGAUUAGAUACCCUCGUAGUCCAUGCCGUAAACGAUGUGUGUUAGACGUUGGAAAUUUAUUUUCAGUGUCGCAGUGAAAGCGAUAAACACACCGCCUGGGGAGUACGACCGCAAGGUUAAAACUCAAAUGAAUUGACGGGGACCCGCACAAGUAGUGGAGCAUGUGGUUUAAUUCGAAGAUACGCGCAGAACCUUACCAACACUUGACAUGUUCGUCGCGACUCUGAGAGAUCAGAGUUUUCGGUGCGGCCGGACGAAACACAGGUGCUGCAUGGCUGUCGUCAGCUCGUGUCGUGAGAUGUUGGGUUAAGUCCCGCAACGAGCGCAACCCUCACUUUUAGUUGCCAUCAUUAAGUUGGGCACUCUGAAAGAACUGCCAGUGAUAAGCUGGAGGAAGGUGGGGAUGACGUCAAGUCCUCAUGGCCCUUACGUGUUGGGCUACACACGUGCUACAAUGGUAUCUACAACAGGAAGCAAGACUGCGAGGUCAAGCAAAUCCUUAAAAGAUACCUCAGUUCGGAUUGCACUCUGCAACUCGAGUGCAUGAAGCUGGAAUUACUAGUAAUCGUGGAUCAGCGUGCCACGGUGAAUGCGUUCCCGGGUCUUGUACACACCGCCCGU
rnacentral:rRNA from 1 species